rnacentral:rRNA from 1 species
UGGGGAAUAUUGCACAAUGGGCGCAAGCCUGAUGCAGCCAUGCCGCGUGUAUGAAGAAGGCCUUCGGGUUGUAAAGUACUUUCAGCGGGGAGGAAGGGAGUAAAGUUAAUACCUUUGCUCAUUGACGUUACCCGCAGAAGAAGCACCGGCUAACUCCGUGCCAGCAGCCGCGGUAAUACGGAGGGUGCAAGCGUUAAUCGGAAUUACUGGGCGUAAAGCGCACGCAGGCGGUUUGUUAAGUCAGAUGUGAAAUCCCCGGGCUCAACCUGAGAACUGCAUCUGAUACUGGCAAGCUUGAGUCUCGUAGAGGGGGGUAGAAUUCCAUGUGUAGCGGUGAAAUGCGUAGAGAUGUGGAGGAAUACCGGUGGCGAAGGCGGCCCCCUGGACAAAGACUGACGCUCAGGUGCGAAAGCGUGGGGAGCAAACAGG